rnacentral:rRNA from 1 species
CCUACGGGUGGCAGCAGUCGAGAAUCAUUCACAAUGGGGGAAACCCUGAUGGUGCGACGCCGCGUGGGGGAAUGAAGGUCUUCGGAUUGUAAACCCCUGUCAUGUGGGAGCAAAUUAAAAAGAUAGUACCACAAGAGGAAGAGACGGCUAACUCUGUGCCAGCAGCCGCGGUAAUACAGAGGUCUCAAGCGUUGUUCGGAAUCACUGGGCGUAAAGCGUGCGUAGGCUGUUUCGUAAGUCGUGUGUGAAAGGCGGGGGCUCAACCCGCGGACGGCACAUGAUACUGCGAGACUAGAGUAAUGGAGGGGGAAGCGGAAUUCUCGGUGUAGCAGUGAAAUGCGUAGAUAUCGAGAGGAACACUCGUGGCGAAGGCGGGUUCCUGGACAUUAACUGACGUUGAGGCACGAAGGCCAGGGGAGCGAAAGGGAUUAGAUACCCUUGUAGUC